AUACGUAGGGGGCAAGCGUUGUCCGGAAUUAUUGGGCGUAAAGCGUGCGCAGGCGGAAUGAUAAGUCAGAUGUGAAAGCCCUCGGCUUAACCGGGGAAUAGCAUCGGAGACUGUAUUGCUUGAGUGCAGAAGAGGAGAGUGGAAGUCCAUGGGUAGCGGUGGAAUGCGUAGAUAUAUGGAAGAACACCAGUGGCGAAGGCGGCUCUCUGGUCUGUAACUGACGCUGAGGCUCGAAAGCAUGGGUAGCGAACAGGAUUAGAUACCCUGGUAGUCCAUGCUGUAAACAAUGAGUGCUAAGUGUUGGGAGGUUUCCGCCUCUCAGUGCUGCAGCUAACGCAUUAAGCACUCCGCCUGGGGAGUACGACCGCAAGGUUAAAACUCAAAUGAAUUGACGGGG
rnacentral:rRNA from 1 species